AACGCGAAGAACCUUACCUAGACUUGACAUCCCCUGCAUAACCCAGAGAUGGGCGAAGUCCUUCGGGACAGGGUGACAGGUGGUGCAUGGUUGUCGUCAGCUCGUGUCGUGAGAUGUUGGGUUAAGUCCCGCAACGAGCGCAACCCUUGUCAUUAGUUGCUACCAUUAAGUUGAGCACUCUAGUGAGACUGCCGCGGUUAACGCGGAGGAAGGUGGGGAUGACGUCAAAUCAUCAUGCCCCUUAUGUCUAGGGCUACACACGUGCUACAAUGGUAGGUACAGAGAGAUGCAAGACCGCGAGGUGGAGCUAAACUCUAAAACCUAUCCCAGUUCGGAUUGUAGGCUGAAACUCGCCUACAUGAAGCCGGAGUUGCUAGUAAUCGCGAAUCAGAAUGUCGCGGUGAAUACGUUCCCGGGUCUUGUACACACGC
rnacentral:rRNA from 1 species